rnacentral:lncRNA from 1 species
CCCCAACUCUCGACACCCAAUUGGAUCUCACUCGCUUCGUCGACGGCCCGACCCGUUUCUUGACCCGCCAGCUCCCGACACCGAAAGAAUCGACAUUCACUUCCCUUUCGUCACCUAGGUUAUCGUACCCAGAACUCAAUUUAUGCUAUGCUUCUCAGCACCUGCGCAUUUGGAAAGAGUGUUGAAAGAACAAAUCGCUGAGGGACAACCUAGGACACACAGACCCUGGAAGAAAAUCAUCGUUGUUGUUGAGGGUAUUUACAGCAUGGAAGGGGAAAUUUGUCAACUGCCUGAGAUUGUCUCAAUAUGCAAAAAGUAUAAGGUAAACCAUCCCCUUUUUUUCAGUAUCGAUGAGAGUUUAAGAAACUCUUUGGCAAAAGAGUUCUUGUAAGCUAAUUUCUCUAACAUUGUUUCAGGCUUAUGUCUACUUGGAUGAAGCUCACAGCAUUGGAGCAAUUGGAAAAACAGGCAGGGGAGUUUGCGAGCUUCUUGGAGUUGACACUGCUGAUGUGGACAUAAUGAUGGGAACUUUUACCAAAUCUUUCGGAUCUUGUGGUGGCUAUAUUGCCGGAUCCAAGGUUAGCAAUUAAUUAGUAUGUACUUUUUGUUUACAUAGCAUAUUGUUUAGGCAAGUGGUAGUGCACUUCAUCUUGAAAUCCGCCAAAGUUCUAAUAAUGGUGCUUUCAAUUUCUGCAGGACCUUAUCCAAUAUUUGAAGUACCAUUGCCCGGCUCACCUUUACGCAACAUCAAUCUCAACUCCUUCCGCGCAACAAAUCAUAUCGGCCAUAAAAGUUAUCCUUGGAGAGGACGGUUCUAACAGAGGUAUCUCUAUAGUUUGGUUUGCUCUCAUAAUCUUAAGUUAUAUAUAGUGUCUCAAAAUUCUGCUAAAACCCCUGGGCAGGUGCACAAAAGUUAGCAAGGAUAAGGGAGAACAGCAACUUUUUCAGGGCUGAGUUGCAGAAGAUGGGAUUUGAGGUUCUUGGAGACAAUGAUUCCCCAGUCAUGCCGAUAAUGCUUUACAAUCCUGCGAAAAUCCCAGCCUUCUCAAGGGAAUGCUUGCGAGAAAACGUAAGUGGAACUAUAUUAUACUUUCUCCCAAUAUUUAAUUUGCCUCCCAUACCAGAGAUCAUUAACAUCUAUGCUCAAAACUGUGAACAGGUGGCAGUUGUGGUUGUUGGUUUCCCAGCUACACCUCUGUUGCUAGCCAGGGCUCGUAUUUGUAUAUCCGCAUCUCACUCGAGAGAAGAUCUUAUUAAAGCUCUACAGGUAAACAAAAAGCUUGCAUCACUUGCUCUCUCCCUCCUAUAUUAUUUACCAUAGAGAACUCGAUUCUAUACAUAGUACUUACUAUAAAUGAUUCGAGUUCAUCCACAAAUUGAUUUUGUAUAUUAUAAAUUUGUGCGUGUUAUAUGACAGGUUAUAAGCAAAGCAGGUGACCUUACCGGAAUCAAAUAUUUUCCAGCGGCUCCAAAGAAGCAAGAAGAAGUGAAAGAUACCAUCAAAUUGGACUAAAACGAGGGGGUAAUGGCAUCAUCAAUUUCUAGUACCAGAAGAGGUUCGUCUUUUGUUGGUGUCCCUUCUACUUGUCUUGAAACUUUGUGAUCCUUCUUUCAUUUUGGUUCCUUGGUUUUGUCACAGUUAAAAUUGUAUAGUUGACUUCUUUAAGAACAGAUAUGACAUUUUGUGCUUCACGAAACUAUGUAAAGACCAAUCGUUUCUUUUUUCUUCUUUCCUCUUCUGCUUUGCUUCCACAGAUCGUCAGCAUGUGGGACUCGAUUCUUUUUACCAACCCGAAUGCCAAUCUUUCACAUUUAACUCUAAUCCACAACCAAACCUAAAAUCAUCAUAUAUCCAUGUCUCACUGUUUCGAUGUUCUUAAAAAAAAAAAAAAAGAAGCUGUGUGAACAAAAUAAACUAAUUACCUGCUCCGUUUCUACAUACUGAGAUAGCUAAACACUUAACCUAUUCAAUUGCAAGUUCCUUAUCAUCAAGACCACCCGUGGAAACGUCUCAGGCGAAUCAAAAGGAGUAGAAAACCUUCUUCUUUUUCACUUCUACUUAUACAAACACUAGUACAGUAGCUAAUGCUACAAUCAAAAACUAAACAGCAAAGAUGAGAAACAAUCAGAGGAAUGGCAUACUAAGGCAAAAAGGACGAAAAGGCUUUCAGACAUUGCCAUGUCUGACUAUCUCACCAACAAACAACAAAAACACAGUCGAAAUUCUCCAACAUCCAUCAGGAGAACUCCCUACCAAGCUUCUGAAUAGCAGAGAACAUCUUCCUCCUGGACCCAACAGCAUUAAUCCCCAUAUCUUUCAAAUCCUCCAAGGUCAACAACGGCAAAACCUCUUCAUCAACCUCAUGUAUCUCAAACAUUGGCCAGUACCUCCCUAACCCCAGCUCUUGCAGCCAAAUCUUCACCCCUUCUCUUCCCUCCAUAUUGGAGGGCUCUGACAACUCAAACUCUCUGUUGUAAUACCCACCACCGUCUCUCACUAAAGACUCGUCCUUUAUCGGACUCUCCGAAUCUUCUCUACUGAAAUCCCUAUACCCCCCACCUUCCAGCUCAUCGCCGUGAUCCAUUUCCCCAACUCUCGACACCCAAUUGGAUCUCACUCGCUUCGUCGACGGCCCGACCCGUUUCUUGACCCGCCAGCUCCCGACACCGAAAGAAUCGACAUUCACUUCCCUUUCGUCACCUAGGUUAUCGUACCCAGAACUCAAAUUCGUCAAAGCUCGAGUCCUCGUCGACGACUUGCUCAUAUCUUUCUUGGGUUUCCUCACCUGCGAAUCGUACGCCGUUUGGUACUGCUCGCCGCCGAUUUCGCCUAAUCUAACGCUCGGUCUCCUCAAUCGCUUCGAUCCGGCCAGAGCUUCGGCUGAUGUUGACGGCAGAGAAGGAGGAACGCCGCCGUUGGGUUGCUGGCUAUUGUCGUUGCCUGGUUGCAAUUCCGCCAUUCGAGAGGUUUCUUGCUUCACUUUGUCGGGCAUAGAUGUGAUGCUACUAAAGAACAUGAAAGGGCAAAAGUCUUUUAGCUAAUUAGGGUUUUUUAUCUGGGGAAGUCUGAGGUGGGAUGUGAGAAAGAGAAUCGUCAUCACUAGAGUCGCACAAGAGAGAUAGAGGGAAGAGAAUACAUGUUCACUUCCUGACACGUGUACGCUUAUGCACACACUCACUCACAGUUAUUUAAUUAUAAACAAAUCCUUUCCCUUCUCCUAAUUUUAUUUUUGUUUUUACAAUAAAACCUCUAUAAAUUAAUAAUGUCGAAACUUUAAAAUUUUAUUAACAUUUGGAAAGAGUGUUGAAAGAACAAAUCGCUGAGGGACAACCUAGGACACACAGACCCUGGAAGAAAAUCAUCGUUGUUGUUGAGGGUAUUUACAGCAUGGAAGGGGAAAUUUGUCAACUGCCUGAGAUUGUCUCAAUAUGCAAAAAGUAUAAGGUAAACCAUCCCCUUUUUUUCAGUAUCGAUGAGAGUUUAAGAAACUCUUUGGCAAAAGAGUUCUUGUAAGCUAAUUUCUCUAACAUUGUUUCAGGCUUAUGUCUACUUGGAUGAAGCUCACAGCAUUGGAGCAAUUGGAAAAACAGGCAGGGGAGUUUGCGAGCUUCUUGGAGUUGACACUGCUGAUGUGGACAUAAUGAUGGGAACUUUUACCAAAUCUUUCGGAUCUUGUGGUGGCUAUAUUGCCGGAUCCAAGGUUAGCAAUUAAUUAGUAUGUACUUUUUGUUUACAUAGCAUAUUGUUUAGGCAAGUGGUAGUGCACUUCAUCUUGAAAUCCGCCAAAGUUCUAAUAAUGGUGCUUUCAAUUUCUGCAGGACCUUAUCCAAUAUUUGAAGUACCAUUGCCCGGCUCACCUUUACGCAACAUCAAUCUCAACUCCUUCCGCGCAACAAAUCAUAUCGGCCAUAAAAGUUAUCCUUGGAGAGGACGGUUCUAACAGAGGUAUCUCUAUAGUUUGGUUUGCUCUCAUAAUCUUAAGUUAUAUAUAGUGUCUCAAAAUUCUGCUAAAACCCCUGGGCAGGUGCACAAAAGUUAGCAAGGAUAAGGGAGAACAGCAACUUUUUCAGGGCUGAGUUGCAGAAGAUGGGAUUUGAGGUUCUUGGAGACAAUGAUUCCCCAGUCAUGCCGAUAAUGCUUUACAAUCCUGCGAAAAUCCCAGCCUUCUCAAGGGAAUGCUUGCGAGAAAACGUAAGUGGAACUAUAUUAUACUUUCUCCCAAUAUUUAAUUUGCCUCCCAUACCAGAGAUCAUUAACAUCUAUGCUCAAAACUGUGAACAGGUGGCAGUUGUGGUUGUUGGUUUCCCAGCUACACCUCUGUUGCUAGCCAGGGCUCGUAUUUGUAUAUCCGCAUCUCACUCGAGAGAAGAUCUUAUUAAAGCUCUACAGGUAAACAAAAAGCUUGCAUCACUUGCUCUCUCCCUCCUAUAUUAUUUACCAUAGAGAACUCGAUUCUAUACAUAGUACUUACUAUAAAUGAUUCGAGUUCAUCCACAAAUUGAUUUUGUAUAUUAUAAAUUUGUGCGUGUUAUAUGACAGGUUAUAAGCAAAGCAGGUGACCUUACCGGAAUCAAAUAUUUUCCAGCGGCUCCAAAGAAGCAAGAAGAAGUGAAAGAUACCAUCAAAUUGGACUAAAACGAGGGGGUAAUGGCAUCAUCAAUUUCUAGUACCAGAAGAGGUUCGUCUUUUGUUGGUGUCCCUUCUACUUGUCUUGAAACUUUGUGAUCCUUCUUUCAUUUUGGUUCCUUGGUUUUGUCACAGUUAAAAUUGUAUAGUUGACUUCUUUAAGAACAGAUAUGACAUUUUGUGCUUCACGAAACUAUGUAAAGACCAAUCGUUUCUUUUUUCUUCUUUCCUCUUCUGCUUUGCUUCCACAGAUCGUCAGCAUGUGGGACUCGAUUCUUUUUACCAACCCGAAUGCCAAUCUUUCACAUUUAACUCUAAUCCACAACCAAACCUAAAAUCAUCAUAUAUCCAUGUCUCACUGUUUCGAUGUUCUUAAAAAAAAAAAAAAAGAAGCUGUGUGAACAAAAUAAACUAAUUACCUGCUCCGUUUCUACAUACUGAGAUAGCUAAACACUUAACCUAUUCAAUUGCAAGUUCCUUAUCAUCAAGACCACCCGUGGAAACGUCUCAGGCGAAUCAAAAGGAGUAGAAAACCUUCUUCUUUUUCACUUCUACUUAUACAAACACUAGUACAGUAGCUAAUGCUACAAUCAAAAACUAAACAGCAAAGAUGAGAAACAAUCAGAGGAAUGGCAUACUAAGGCAAAAAGGACGAAAAGGCUUUCAGACAUUGCCAUGUCUGACUAUCUCACCAACAAACAACAAAAACACAGUCGAAAUUCUCCAACAUCCAUCAGGAGAACUCCCUACCAAGCUUCUGAAUAGCAGAGAACAUCUUCCUCCUGGACCCAACAGCAUUAAUCCCCAUAUCUUUCAAAUCCUCCAAGGUCAACAACGGCAAAACCUCUUCAUCAACCUCAUGUAUCUCAAACAUUGGCCAGUACCUCCCUAACCCCAGCUCUUGCAGCCAAAUCUUCACCCCUUCUCUUCCCUCCAUAUUGGAGGGCUCUGACAACUCAAACUCUCUGUUGUAAUACCCACCACCGUCUCUCACUAAAGACUCGUCCUUUAUCGGACUCUCCGAAUCUUCUCUACUGAAAUCCCUAUACCCCCCACCUUCCAGCUCAUCGCCGUGAUCCAUUUCCCCAACUCUCGACACCCAAUUGGAUCUCACUCGCUUCGUCGACGGCCCGACCCGUUUCUUGACCCGCCAGCUCCCGACACCGAAAGAAUCGACAUUCACUUCCCUUUCGUCACCUAGGUUAUCGUACCCAGAACUCAAAUUCGUCAAAGCUCGAGUCCUCGUCGACGACUUGCUCAUAUCUUUCUUGGGUUUCCUCACCUGCGAAUCGUACGCCGUUUGGUACUGCUCGCCGCCGAUUUCGCCUAAUCUAACGCUCGGUCUCCUCAAUCGCUUCGAUCCGGCCAGAGCUUCGGCUGAUGUUGACGGCAGAGAAGGAGGAACGCCGCCGUUGGGUUGCUGGCUAUUGUCGUUGCCUGGUUGCAAUUCCGCCAUUCGAGAGGUUUCUUGCUUCACUUUGUCGGGCAUAGAUGUGAUGCUACUAAAGAACAUGAAAGGGCAAAAGUCUUUUAGCUAAUUAGGGUUUUUUAUCUGGGGAAGUCUGAGGUGGGAUGUGAGAAAGAGAAUCGUCAUCACUAG